UAGCAACGUACCAAGUCUAUAAUGCCAACUGCGCUAAUGACAAUUAUAGAUGUAAACAAAAACAAAACAGUAUUAGCAUUUUGGUGAAGGGUUGUUUAAUUCAUAAAUAAAAUUAUAUUUUUUCUGGUAAAAUCGGCGAAAAGGGUGAAAAAAAGUCUAUCAUUUGCAGUUUGCGUUCUUGUGUAGUACCUGCAGAAUACUUGCGAAGAAUAGCGAGAGAGGAAUCCGUCUAAAGCACGAGGAGAAGAAAAACUAUUAAUUUUUGAGCUGCACGAGAUUAUCGUCUGCUACGAAAAAUACGUUGUUUCUUCGGAUCCGAACAAACUCAAAAAUUAAUAACGGAUAUAACCUCAAAUAUGGACGGAGCCGCGAAUUUCACUCUAACACCGUGCGGGGUGUGUCAUCAGACGUCGGUUGUUGCC